GCGGCGGACGGGUGAGUAACACGUGGGCAACCUGCCCUGCAGACUGGGAUAACUUCGGGAAACCGGAGCUAAUACCGGAUAACACCGAAAACCGCAUGGUUUUCGGUUGAAAGGCGGCUUUUAGCUGUCACUGCAGGAUGGGCCCGCGGCGCAUUACCUAGUUGGUGAGGUAACGGCUCACCAAGGCGACGAUGCGUAGCCGACCUGAGAGGGUGACCGGCCACACUGGGACUGAGACACGGCCCAGACUCCUACGGGAGGCAGCAGUAGGGAAUCUUCCGCAAUGGACGAAAGUCUGACGGAGCAACGCCGCGUGAGCGAAGAAGGUCUUCGGAUCGUAAAGCUCUGUUGUCAGGGAAGAACAAGUGCCGUUCGAACAGGGCGGUACCUUGACGGUACCUGACGAGGAAGCCACGGCUAACUACGUGCCAGCAGCCGCGGUAAUAC
rnacentral:rRNA from 1 species